rnacentral:rRNA from 1 species
AGUUCUGAUUGCGGCUCAGAUUGAACGCUUUCGGCAGAUGCUUACAUGGCGUAAGUCGGAACGGCGUACCGGACUUCGGUCUGCGGCGAGUAAGGAAAUGGUGAGUAAUGUAUCGGAACGUGCCUAGUGAAGUGGACAAUCACGAGCAGUAGCUACCACCGCAUACGCCCUUCGGGGGAAAGCGGGGACCUUCGGGCCUCUGCAGUAAUCAUUAGAGCGGGCCGAUAUCGGAUUAGCUAGUUGGUGGGGUAAACGGCCAAUUAAGGCGACGAUCCGUAGCUGGCUGGAGAGGACGACCUGGCCACACUGGGACUGGAGACACGGCCCCAGACUCUUACGGAGGCAGCAGUAGGGAAUUUUGGACAAUGGGGAAACCCUGAUCCAGCCAUCCCGCGUGUGCGUGAUGAAGGCCUUCGGGUUGUAAAGCACUUUUUGGCAGGAGGUGUUGUCUGCACGGAUAAUACCCGUGCAACUGACGGUACCUGCAGAAUAAGCACCGGCUAACUACGUGCUACAGCCGCGGUAAUACGUAGGUGCAAGCGUUAAUCGGAAUUACUGGCAGCGUGCGCGGUGGCGGUUCUGGAAGAAAGAUGUGAAAUCCCAGAGCUUUAACUUUGAACUGCAUUUUUAACUACUUGAGCUAGAGUGUGUCAGAGGGAGGUGGAAUUCCGUAGUGGUGAAAUGUGCAGAUAUGAGGAACACCGAUGGCGAAGGCAGCCUCCGGGAUAACACUGAUUGCUCGAUGCACGAAAGCGUGGGAGUAAACAGGAUUAGAUACCUGUAGUCCACGCCCAAACGAUGUCAACUAGCUGCUGGGGGUUUCGGGCCUCGGUAGCGCAGAAGCGACUGUGAAGUUGACCGCCUGUGGAGUGGCUGGUUCGCAAGAUUAAACUCAAAGGAAUUGACGGGGACCCGCACAAGCGGUGGAUGAUGAUUAAUUCGAUGCAACGCGAAAAACCUUACCUACUCCUUGAUACGUCUGGAAUCCCGAAGAGAUUUGGGAGUGCCGCACAGGAACGGAACACAGGUGCUGUAUGGCUGUCGCCAGCUCGUGUCGUGAGAUGCUGGGUUAAGUCCUGCGAACAGAGCGCAACCUUUGUCAUUAGUUGCUAAGGAAGGGCAAUUACGGAGAUCGUUGGUGACAAACUGGAGAAGGGGGAUGACGCUUUUCCAGUCCAGUACCUUGCGGGGUAGGGCUUCACACGUCAUACAAUGGUCGGGACAGAGGUCGCCAACCCGCGCAGGGGAGCCAUGUCCUGAAACCCGAUCGUAGUCCGGAUCGCAGUCUGCAACUCGACUGCGUGUCGGAAUCGCUAGACUGCGGGAUCAGCAUGUCGCGGUGAAUACGUUCCCGGGUCUUGUACACACCGCCCGUCACACUCAUGGGAGUGGGUUUUACUCAGAAGUAGUUAGCCUUAACCUGCAGAGGGCGAUUACCACGGGGAUCUGCGACCGGGUGAAGUCGUAACAGGUAGCUCGAAAGAUACCUGAUGCUC